CAACGAAUUUGACAGUUGCUCAGUGACAUUAUAAAAGGCAAAGGCAAAAAACAAAACAAAACUUGUAAACAAUACAUUAAACGAAACAAUGGAAGGUGUAAAGGACGUAAAUUUGGUGGAAGACGAGAUGGAGUUCCAGCCAUCAUUGUAUAUCCGAACAUCCGAUGUGCCUCUGACUGUUAGUAUGAGCAACAUUCUGGAGAACCUGGAGCACAUAUACGGGCCGUCAUUCGUUGGAAUUCAACAUAAACUGUACAUUCAUAUAAUUUGUCCGAAGUUGGCGGUUGCUAAGAAACUUCAAGUGGAUGGUAUCGAUAUGGGACGAAAUUCGACGAAAAUUCGACUUUACAACGUUAUUCAACAUAACGCCUGGUUGGAUGAUGAACUUGAAAAAUGAAGAGGUGCAGGGAGCCGAUUUAAUGUUCGGAAAGUUCUUUCUAAUUCAAAUUUUUCUUUCGGAAACCUACGAGUAGAAUCAUCUUCAGUAGUUUCUGUACUUUGUUGCCUUCGUCUCGAAAUACAAAAGUUCUCACACAUCUACUACAAUCAUCCCAGCAGGACAGUAACAUACUACUUUUGCCGGAGAUUUUCUUAAUUCAUUUAAAUUCCAGGUGCCAUAUUCGUCAUUGUCGUUCUACCCGAAACCGAGGGUAAAAGCUUCGAAGACAUAUCAAGAAUGUUAGCGAAUUGAAUAAAUUAUUUUCUUAAA